AAAUUGAAGAGUUUGAUCAUGGCUCAGAUUGAACGCUGGCGGCAGGCCUAACACAUGCAAGUCGAGCGGUAGCACAGAGAACUUGCUCUCGGGUGACGAGCGGCGGACGGGUGAGUAAUGUCUGGGAAACUGCCUGAUGGAGGGGGAUAACUACUGGAAACGGUAGCUAAUACCGCAUAAUGUCGCAAGACCAAAGUGGGGGACCUUCGGGCCUCAUGCCAUCAGAUGUGCCCAGAUGGGAUUAGCUAGUAGGUGGGGUAACGGCUCACCUAGGCGACGAUCCCUAGCUGGUCUGAGAGGAUGACCAGCCACACUGGAACUGAGACACGGUCCAGACUCCUACGGGAGGCAGCAGUGGGGAAUAUUGCACAAUGGGCGCAAGCCUGAUGCAGCCAUGCCGCGUGUGUGAAGAAGGCCUUCGGGUUGUAAAGCACUUUCAGCGGGGAGGAAGGCGAUAAGGUUAAUAACCUUG
rnacentral:rRNA from 1 species